AGCCGCUGACGGCAGCACAUGCUCGUCGCCUCCGUCCCUUUCCUUGGAGCUCAUCUUACGAAAGCAUAUUUCUCUGCCCUCCUACCAGCUUCUGUUCGAGUGCCACCUCGAUGACGCAGACCGCCCUCACGGAGGACGAGCUGGAUGAUGCUCUUGGCCUUGCCAUCCGUGCCGCCAACACGGCCGCCUUCAUCAUCAACAGCGCUAUCGACGACAGGACAAACAACAUCGAGGCGCAGAUCAGAAACAACCCGAACGAUCUCGUGACGCAGUACGAAAAGCAGUGCAAGGAGGAGGUGCUGAACAUCCUACGCGUGGGCACUCCUUCGUAUGCUAUUCUGAGCGACGACGUGCACAGCGAGGCGGUGCUCGAUGACGGCCCCACGUGGAUUGCUGGCCCGAUCGACGGCACCGUCAGCUUCGAGCACGGCCUCUUCGACUUCUGCGUCUCCAUCGCGUUAGCCCUUCGCAAGGAACCUAUACUCGGUGUCGUGUGCGCGCCACGCCUGCAGGAGGUCUUCACCGCCGUCAAGAACCGCGGCGCCUUCAGCAACGGCCAGCGCAUUCACGUCUCGCUGGUCGAUUCGUUGAAGCAGAGCGUGGUGCUGCUGCACGAAAGCUGCACCCGCAGCGACGCAGCCGUGAGAAGCGUGACGGCGAUGCAGGCGGAGCUGGCAAAGCACCCCGUGCAGGGGCUGCGGUGCAACGGGUCUGCAGCGCUGGAUAUGUGCCUUGUCGCGGCUGGGCGAGCGGAGCUGUUUUGGGAAGCCGGCGUGAACCCGUGGAAUGUGGCGGCAGGCGUGAUCAUCGUGCGUGAGGCAGGCGGUGUUGUGCAUGAUGUCGAAAGCACCGACGCUUUCGACUUCACUCGCCGCGGCGUGUGCUGCGGGUGCUCUCUGGAUGUGACCAAGCAUGGCGUCGAGCUGAGCCUCAAACACAACUACCGUAGCUCGGUGUUGAACACGUCAUCUUGAGACACUCGAGCCGAAGGCAUCACGUGUGAUGGGGAGGCAUGCGCAUCAGUUGCUGCGCGGACGUGUGUGCGACACGCGCCUGCCCUCUUUCUGCUUCUCCUCUGCCCGAUUCAGCAGCCUGCUCUCCCUCCGGCCCUGGUGGGGGAUGCGCUGGAGAGCGCGAAGGUGGACGGCCAGCGAGUGAUGGGGUGAUGGUGGUGGUGAUAGAGAAAUGUGCCGUGCCUUCAUGUUUGCGUUUGAAUGUAUGCGCAUGCCUCUGCUCUCACUCUGAUGCCGCUGUGGCCGGUGCGCAUCCCAAGCGACUCACAAGACUGCUGGCCCUGCAUCUCUCUCCUCCCUCCGCCAGGGGGGAGCAAAAAAAAAGGGAAGCGAGGCGCACGGCCGCGGCGAUGGGCCACAGCGUUUCCGCACCGCCACAAAGGGCAGAAGUGGCGCGUUCCCUACUGACCAGUGCUUUAGUCCUUUCUCUCGCCGCACUGCCGCCGUCGUCUCAUCUCUUCCACCCGUCUGUCCCCUUUUGUGGAAUUGGUCUACUCGCGUGUCGCCCACGCACAACACCAGCCCUCUUCUCAUGAUCGCGACCUUUGCUGCAAUGAUUGUUGUCCGUGCACAGAGGGAGAGGAACCGAAGAGAGGGGCAGGGGGGGGGCGAUGGCAGAGCGAACGCUGACACCCCCAAACCAUGUGUAUGUUGGCCAGCGACAGCUGGACCUUGCUCUUCUCGUCUUUGCCCCCCUUCUCCCCGGUGUACUUCCCGCGUAUCCCCCUUUCUACCCUCCCUCGCCCAUUCUUCCGAGUGCUGUUGCAGCGGCAAUGACCACGCUGCGCACGCACGGAUAGGAUGAUGUUGCCUACACGGUACAGGGCGAGCACUCAUGGAUAUGCCGGCAAGGGUGGCAAGAGGAGCGGACGCACGUAUCUCGCAGUCCAGAGCUUCCCCGCUGUUUGUAAGUAAUGGCACCUGUUCACCACUUCUCCGCUCUUCUCUUCACGAACCUCAAAUCACGGUAUACACGUCUGCCACCGGCCGUGGCACCGCGACGCAG
rnacentral:misc_RNA from 1 species